AACGAACGCUGGCGGCAUGCCUAACACAUGCAAGUCGAACGAGACCUUCGGGUCUAGUGGCGCACGGGUGCGUAACGCGUGGGAACCUGCCCUUAGGUUCGGCAUAACUCCCCGAAAGGGGUGCUAAUACCGGAUAAUGUCUUCGGACCAAAGAUUUAUCGCCUUUGGAUGUGCCCGCGUUGGAUUAGCUAGUUGGUAGGGUAAAAGCCUACCAAGGCGACGAUCCAUAGCUGGUCUGAGAGGAUGAUCAGCCACACUGGGACUGAGACACGGCCCAGACUCCUACGGGAGGCAGCAGUGGGGAAUAGUGGACAAUGGGCGAAAGCCUGAUCCAGCAAUGCCGCGCGAGUGAUGAAGGCCUUAGGGUUGUAAAGCGCUUUUACCCGGGAUGAUAAUGACAGUACCGGGAGAAUAAGCUCCGGCUAACUCCGUG
rnacentral:rRNA from 1 species